rnacentral:rRNA from 1 species
UUCGUGGAAGGGCCAUCGCUCAACGGAUAAAAGGUACGCCGGGGAUAACAGGCUGAUCUCUCCCAAGAGUCCAUAUCGACGGGGAGGUUUGGCACCUCGAUGUCGGCUCAUCGCAUCCUGGGGCUGAAGCAGGUCCCAAGGGUUUGGCUGUUCGCCAAUUAAAGCGGUACGCGAGCUGGGUUUAGAACGUCGUGAGACAGUUCGGUCCCUAUCUGCCAUGGUUGUGGAAGCUUGAGAGGAUCUGCCCUUAGUACGAGAGGACCGGGGUGGACGUACCUCUGGUGUACCUAUUGUAGCGCCAGCUGCAUCGUAGGGUAGCUAUGUACGGAAUGGAUAACCGCUGAAAGCAUCUAAGCGGGAAGCCAACCUCAAAACUAGGCUUCGUUAUAGGAUCGUGGAAGACUACCACGUUGAUAGGCUGGAUGUGGAAGUGUGGUAACACAUGAAGCUAACCAGUACUAAUAAUCCAAUGCUUGAAUUAU